rnacentral:rRNA from 1 species
GACGAACGCUGGCGGCGUGCUUAACACAUGCAAGUCGAACGGAAAGGCCCUGCUGUUGUGGGGUGCUCGAGUGGCGAACGGGUGAGUAACACGUGAGUAACCUGCCCUUGACUUUGGGAUAACUUCAGGAAACUGGGGCUAAUACCGGAUAGGAGCUCCUGCUGCAUGGUGGGGGUUGGAAAGGUUCGGCGGUUGGGGAUGGACUCGCGGGUUAUUAGCUUGUUGGUGGGGUAGUGGCUUACCAAGGCUUUGACGGGUAGCCGGCCUGAGAGGGUGACCGGCCACAUUGGGACUGAGAUACGGCCCAGACUCCUGCGGGAGGCAGCAGUGUGGAAUAUUGCACGAUGGGCGGAAGCCUGAUGCAGCAACGCCGCGUGCGGGAUUAUGGCCUUCGGGUUUUAAACCGUUUUCGCCUGUGACGAAGCGUGAGUGACGGUAAUGGAUAAAGAAGCACCGGCUAACUACGUG